rfam:Desulfosporosinus sp. OT TOT.assembly.147, whole genome shotgun sequence.
GGGGUAGGGGAGCGUUCUAUCAGCAGAGAAGUCAAACUGUAAGGUUUGGUGGAGUGGAUAGAAGUGAGAAUGCCGGUAUGAGUAUGCGAAAAGGAAGGUGAGAAUCCUUCCCGCCGAAAAUCUAAGGUUUCCUGGGGAAGGCUCGUCCGCCCAGGGUAAGUCGGGACCUAAGCCGAGGCCAAAAGGCGUAGGUGAUGGACAACUGGUUGAGAUUCCAGUACCACCUAGAAAUGUUUGAGCAAUGGGGUGACACAGAAGGAUAGGUUAAGCCAACCGUUGGUUGAGUUGGCCCAAGCGAUGAAGGAGGUAGGGUAGGCAAAUCCGCCCUGCUAACUCUGAGACGUGAUGGGGAGCGAAACUUAGUAGCGAAGUAACCGACUCCAAGCUGUCAAGAAAAGCCUCUAGUGAGUGACUAGGUGCCCGUACCGUAAACCGACACAGGUAGAUGGGGUGAGAAUCCUAAGGCGCGCGAGAAAACCCUCGUUAAGGAACUCGGCAAAAUAGCCCCGUAACUUCGGGAGAAGGGGCGCUCUUGGCAACAAGAGCCGCAGAGAAAUGGUCCAGGCGACUGUUUAACAAAAACACAGGUCCCUGCUAAUCCGAAAGGAGAUGUAUAGGGGCUGACACCUGCCCGGUGCUGGAAGGUUAAGAGGAGAGGUUAGGGGCAACCCGAAGCUUUGAAUUGAAGCCCCAGUAAACGGCGGCCGUAACUAUAACGGUCCUAAGGUAGCGAAAUUCCUUGUCAGGUAAGUUCUGACCCGCACGAAAGGUGUAACGAUCUGGACACUGUCUCGACGAGGGACUCGGCGAAAUUGUAAUACCCGUGAAGAUGCGGGUUACCUGCGACAGGACAGAAAGACCCCAUGGAGCUUUACUGUAGCUUGACAUUGGAUUUUGGUAUAAAAUGUACAGGAUAGGUGGGAGACUAAGAAGCUAGGGCGCCAGCCUUGGUGGAGUCGCCGGUGGGAUACCACUCUUUUUGUACUGAAGUUCUAACUAGGUCCCCUGAAGCGGGGAUUAGGACAGUAUCAGGUGGGCAGUUUGACUGGGGCGGUCGCCUCCUAAAGAGUAACGGAGGCGCCCAAAGGUUCCCUCAGCGCGGUUGGAAAUCGCGCGAAGAGUGUAAAGGCAUAAGGGAGCUUGACUGCGAGACCAACAAGUCGAGCAGGGACGAAAGUCGGGCUUAGUGAUCCGGUGGUACCGAGUGGAAGGGCCAUCGCUCAACGGAUAAAAGCUACCCUGGGGAUAACAGGCUUAUCUCCCCCAAGAGUCCAUAUCGACGGGGAGGUUUGGCACCUCGAUGUCGGCUCAUCGCAUCCUGGGGCUGUAGUAGGUCCCAAGGGUUGGGCUGUUCGCCCAUUAAAGCGGUACGUGAGCUGGGUUCAGAACGUCGUGAGACAGUUCGGUCCCUAUCCGUCGCAGGCGCAGGAAAUUUGAGAGGAUCUGUCCCUAGUACGAGAGGACCGGGAUGGACGAAUCACUGGUGUACCAGUUGUCUCGCCAGAGGCACAGCUGGGUAGCUAUAUUCGGAGCGGAUAAGCGCUGAAAGCAUCUAAGCGCGAAACCGACCUCAAGAUGAGAUUUCCCACAGCAUAAGCUGGUAAGACCCCUGAAAGAUGAUCAGGUUGAUAGGCCAGGUGUGGAAGCACCGUGAGGUGUGGAGCUGACUGGUACUAAUCGGUCGAGGGCUUGACCUA